AGCGGCGGACGGGUGAGGAAUUCGUCGGAAUCUGCCUUUUUGUGGGGGAUAACGUAGGGAAACUUACGCUAAUACCGCAUACGACCUACGGGUGAAAGUGGGGGACCGCAAGGCCUCACGCAGAAAGAUGAGCCGACGACCGAUUAGCUAGUUGGUAGGGUAAAGGCCUACCAAGGCGACGAUCGGUAGCUGGUCUGAGAGGAUGAUCAGCCACACUGGGACUGAGACACGGCCCAGACUCCUACGGGAGGCAGCAGUGGGGAAUAUUGGACAAUGGGCGCAAGCCUGAUCCAGCCAUGCCGCGUGUGUGAAGAAGGCCUUCGGGUUGUAAAGCACUUUUGUCCGGAAAGAAAUCCUUCAACUUAAUACGUUGGGGGGAUGACGGUACCGGAAGAAUAAGCACCGGCUAACUUCGUGCCAGCAGCCGCGGUAAUACGAAGGGUGCAAGCGUUACUCGGAAUUACUGGGCGUAAAGCGUGCGUAGGCGGUUCGUUAAGUCUGACGUGAAAUCCCCGGGCUCAACCUGGGACGUGCGUUGGAAACUGGCGAUCUAGAGUACGGUAGAGGGUGGUGGAAUUCCCGGUGUA
rnacentral:rRNA from 1 species